rnacentral:rRNA from 1 species
CGGGUGAGUACAACAUAGGAAAUCUGCCUUAGGGUGGGGGACAACAGAGGGAAACUUCUGCUAAUACCCCAUAUGAGCUUGGUUGAAAUACCAAUCUUGAAAGUUCCGGCGCCCUAAGAUGAGCCUGUGCCUGAUUAGCUAGUUGGUGGUGUAAUGGACUACCAAGGCGACGAUCAGUAGCUGGUUUGAGAGGAUGAUCAGCCACAAUGGGACUGAGACACGGCCCAUACUCCUACGGAAGGCAGCAG